rnacentral:rRNA from 1 species
CAGAUUCAUGGCGGGCGUCAGGCCCAACACAUGCAAGUCGAGCGGUAACUCAGAGGAGCUUGCUCCUUGGGCGCCGCGUGGAGGACGGGUGAGUAAAGCGUGGGGAUCUGCACGAUAGAUGGGGAUAUUUACUCGCCACUGUAGCUCAUACCGCAUACUGUCUUCGGACCAAAGUGGGGGCUCUUCGGACCUCAUGCUAUCGGAUGAACCCAGGUGGGAUUAGCUACUUGGUGUGGUAAUGCCUCACCAAGGAGACGAUCUUUACAUGGUUUGAGAGAAUGACCAGUCACACUGGAAGUGAGACACGUUCCAGACUCCUACGGGAGGCAGCAGUGGGGAAUAUUGCACAAUGGGCGCAAGCCUGAUGCAGCCAUGCCGCGUGUGUGAAGAAGGCCUUCGGGUUGUAAAGCACUUUCAGCGGGGAGGAAGGGUCACUAGUUAAUACCUAGUGGCACCUUCGUUACUCGCAGAAGAAGCACCGGCUAACUCCGCGCCAGCAGCCGCGGUAAUACGGAGGGUGCAAGCGUUAAUCCGAAUUACUGGGCGUAAAGCGCACGCAGGCGGUUUGUUAAGUCAGAUGUGAAAUCCCCGAGCUCAACUUGGGAACUGCAUUUGAAACUGGCAAGUUAGAGUCUUGUAGAGGGGGGUAGAAUUCCAGGUGUAGCGGCGAAAUGGGUAGAGAUCUGGAGGAAUACUGGUGGCGAAGGCGGCCCCCUGGACAAAGACUGACGCUCAGGUGGGAAAGGUUGGGGAGCAAACAGGAUUAGAUACCCUGGUAGUCCCCGCCGUAAACGAUGUCGAUUUGGAGGUUGUGCCCAUGAGGCGUGGCUUCUGGAGCUAACGCGUAAAUCGACCGCU